GAUUGCCUCAGUAACGGCGAGUGAAGCGGCAAAAGCUCAAAUUUUAAAGCUGGCACCUCCGGUGUCCGCGUUGUAAUUUUGUGAGGCAUCUCCGGGUGGGGCGCCGGCCUAAGUUCCUUGGAACAGGACGUCAUAGAGGGUGAGAAUCCCGUGCUUGGCUGGCUGUCCCCGUCCAUGUGAGGUGUCUUCGACGAGUCGAGUUGUUUGGGAAUGCAGCUCAAAAUGGGUGGUAAAUUUCAUCUAAAGCUAAAUAUUGGUGGGAGACCGAUAGCGCACAAGUAGAGUGAUCGAAAGAUGAAAAGCACUUUGAAAAUAGAGUUAAAAAGUACGUGAAAUUGUUGAAAGGGAAGCGCUUGAGACCAGACUUCGGUGGGGAGUGAUCAGCUGUCCUUCUGGGCGGUGCACUUGCUCCCCUCCGGGCCAGCAUCGGUUGGGACGGCGGGAUAAAGGUCCUGGGAAUGUGGCUCCUUUCGGGGAGUGUUAUAGCCCGGGUGAAUGCCGCCAGCCCCGACCGAGGACCGCGCCUUCGGGCUAGGAUG
rnacentral:rRNA from 1 species